rnacentral:rRNA from 1 species
GAUGAACGCUGGCGGCGUGCCUAAUACAUGCAAGUCGAGCGAACAGAUGAGGAGCUUGCUCCUCUGACGUUAGCGGCGGACGGGUGAGUAACACGUGGAUAACCUACCUAUAAGACUGGGAUAACUUCGGGAAACCGGAGCUAAUACCGGAUAAUAUAUUGAACCGCAUGGUUCAAUAGUGAAAGACGGUUUUGCGGUCACUUAUAGAUGGAUCCGCGCCGCAUUAGCUAGUUGGUAAGGUAACGGCUUACCAAGGCAACGAUGCGUAGCCGACCUGAGAGGGUGGUCGGCCACCCUGGAACUGAGACACGGUCCAGACUCCUACGGGAGGCAGCAGUAGGGAAUCUUCCGCAAUGGGCGAAAGCCUGACGGAGCAACGCCGCGUGAGUGAUGAAGGUCUUCGGAUCGUAAAACUCUGUUAUUAGGGAAGAACAAAUGUGUAAGUAACUAUGCACGUCUUGACGGUACCUAAUCAGAAAGCCCCGGCUAACUACGUG